UACGAAGGGGGCUAGCGUUGCUCGGAAUCACUGAGCGUAAAGGGUGCGUAGGCGGGUCUUUUAAGUCAGGGGUGAAAUCCUGGAGCUCAACUCCAGAACUGCCUUUGAUACUGAGGAUCUUGAGUUCGGGAGAGGUGAGUGGAACUGCGAGUGUAGAGGUGAAAUUCGUAGAUAUUCGCAAGAACACCAGUGGCGAAGGCGGCUCACUGGCCCGAUACUGACGCUGAGGCACGAAAGCGUGGGGAGCAAACAGG
rnacentral:rRNA from 1 species